rnacentral:rRNA from 1 species
UACGUAGGGUGCGAGCGUUGUCCGGAAUUAUUGGGCGUAAAGAGCUUGUAGGCGGUCUGUCGCGUCUGCUGUGAAAAUCCGGGCUCACCCGGACUUGCAGUGGGUACGGCAGACUAGAGUGUGGUAGGGGAGACUGGAAUUCCUGGUGUAGCGGUGAAAUGCGCAGAUAUCAGGAGGAACACCGAUGGCGAAGGCAGGUCUCUGGGCCACUACUGACGCUGAGAAGCGAAAGCAUGGGAGCGAACAGG